rnacentral:rRNA from 1 species
UGGGGAAUAUUGCACAAUGGGGGAAACCCUGAUGCAGCGACGCCGCGUGAGGGAAGAAGGUUUUCGGAUUGUAAACCUCUGUCCUUGGUGACGAAAAUGACGGUAGCCAAGGAGGAAGCCACGGCUAACUACGUGCCAGCAGCCGCGGUAAUACGUAGGUGGCAAGCGUUAUCCGGAAUGAUUGGGCGUAAAGGGUGCGCAGGCUGCGCGUCAAGUCUGAAGUGAAAGGUACGGGCUUAACCGGUACAGGCUUUGGAAACUGGCACGCUAGAGGACAGGAGAGGGCGGUGGAACUCCAUGUGUAGCGGUAAAAUGCGUAGAUAUAUGGAAGAACACCAGUUGCGAAGGCGACCGCCUGGACUGUUGCUGACGCUCAGGCACGAAAAGCGUGGGGGAGCAAAUAGGAUUAGAUACC